ensembl:rRNA 5S_rRNA 5S ribosomal RNA
GUCUACAGCCAUAUCACCCUGCAUACCUGACAUCUACUCUGAUCUCAGGAGCUAAGCAGGGUCGGGUCUUGUUAGUACUUGGAUGGGAGACUGCUUGCAAAUACCAGGUGCUGUAGAAU